rnacentral:rRNA from 1 species
UACGUAGGGUGCGAGCGUUGUCCGGAAUUAUUGGGCGUAAAGGGCCCGUAGGCGGCUUGUCGCGUCGGCUGUGAAAACCUGGGGCUCAACCCCGGGCCUGCAGCCGAUACGGGCAAGCUAGAAUUCGGUAGGGGAGACUGGAAUUCCUGGUGUAGCGGUGAAAUGCGCAGAUAUCAGGAAGAACACCCGUGGCGAAGGCGGCUCUCUGGGACGGUACUGACGCUGAGACGCGAAAGCGUGGGGAGCGAACAGG